ACUAUUGUGUUGCAGUUGCCUGCAAUAGUCAGUAUUCAGUAACAUGCUGUACAGGUUUGUAGCCUAGGAGCAGUAGGCUAGACCAUAUAGCCUAGAUGCGUAGUAGGCUGUACCACCUAGGUUUAACUAUCUAGUUUGUGUAAGCAU